rfam:Rattus norvegicus chromosome 16, whole genome shotgun sequence.
GGGGAUUUGGCUCAGUGGUAGAGCGCAUGCCUAGGAAGCACAAGGCCCUGGGUUCGAUCCCCAGCUCCG